AGAUGGUGGUGAUGAAUAAAAUAAAUGGCUCUCCUUAGGAGCCUUGAAAAUGACUACGGUUUCUCUGCACUGUAAGAGCGACGUGUGCAGCACCUGGGCAGGCGUGAGGGGUGGACUUACUUUGUGGAACACAUGGGAGCAUGAAAGCAGCACCUGUUCAUGAGGAAACAGAACAACGUUGAAGUUUACAAAAGAGAAGCAGCAUGUAUCCAACAGUUAAAAUCCUGAAUGCUUAGAAAGAUGGGGCAUGGUUGCACGGAGUCCCCUUGCAGGAGGGAGCGCUGUUUCACCUUCUCCCAUUCAUCUGAUGACAGUGGAGGUGGUGGAGGCCCAAUGAGGCCCAACUUCUGUGCUAAAGUAAGACAGCACAGGACAGGAGUUAGAGUGUCUUUUAGCAUAUGGCACCCACCUAUAACUUUAAUGACACCAUUUGCAAACAAAGAUUAAAGAACUACAUAUAGAUCACAUACUUCAUUUCACAAUAG
rnacentral:lncRNA from 1 species